rnacentral:tRNA from 1 species
UCGCGGGGUAGUUUAAGUGGUAAAACGCUACUUUGAGAGUAACAGAAGGACGGUUCGAUUCCUCCCCCUGCGAU